UUUCCGUAGGUGAACCUGCGGAAGGAUCAUUACAUUCAGUAGCCUAGCUACUUGUUUACACCCUUGUUUUUGCGUACCUAUUGUUUCCUCGGCGGGUCCGCCCGCCGAUUGGACAAUUUAAACCAUUUGCAGUUGCAAUCAGCGUCUGAAAAACUUUAAUAGUUACAACUUUCAACAACGGAUCUCUUGGUUCUGGCAUCGAUGAAGAACGCAGC
rnacentral:misc_RNA from 1 species